UCCUGUUGCCCAUGCUCUUCCUGUCAAGAGGAGUGCUUGUGGAUGGAGGCUACCACCACCCCAGAAGGUCAUAAGGUCAUCUGAUUACUACCCUACAACACAAGUGGGGAGUUCAUUUGGGGCAAAUAGAUUAUCCAAAAUUGCAUCUCAGCUGGAAGAU